GCGAACGCUGGCGGCAGGCCUAACACAUGCAAGUCGGACGAACUCUUCGGAGUUAGUGGCGGACGGGUGAGUAACACGUGGGAACGUGCCUUUAGGUUCGGAAUAACUCAGGGAAACUUGUGCUAAUACCGAAUGUGCCCUUCGGGGGAAAGAUUUAUCGCCUUUAGAGCGGCCCGCGUCUGAUUAGCUAGUUGGUGAGGUAAAGGCUCACCAAGGCGACGAUCAGUAGCUGGUCUGAGAGGAUGAUCAGCCACAUUGGGACUGAGACACGGCCCAAACUCCUACGGGAGGCAGCAGUGGGGAAUCUUGCGCAAUGGGCGAAAGCCUGACGCAGCCAUGCCGCGUGAAUGAUGAAGGUCUUAGGAUUGUAAAAUUCUUUCACCGGGGACGAUAAUGACGGUACCCGGAGAAGAAGCCCCGGCUAACUUCGUG
rnacentral:rRNA from 1 species